AUUGCUGCUGGGUCUUUUGGCUAAGAUCAAAUGUAGUAUUUGUUCUUGUCAGUUUAAUAUCUUGUAUGUCCUAUAUCAAAGGACCAUGUAUUAAGUGGGGUUUUGGAGCAGGGAGAUGGAAUAGGAGUUUGCUCUGUCCACUCCACCCAUUGACUUGGUAUUGCAGUACUUUCAGGAAUGGUGCCCUCCUU